rnacentral:rRNA from 1 species
GACGAACGCUGGCGGCGUGCCUAAUACAUGCAAGUCGAACGGUCUUUUCUAUGGAAGCUUGCUUCCACUGAGAAGAUAGUGGCGGACGGGUGAGUAACACGUGGGUAACCUGCCCAUAAGAGGGGGAUAGCCUUCCGAAAGGAAGAUUAAUACCGCAUAACAUGGUUUCAGGGCAUCCUGAAAUCAUCAAAGGGCAAUCCGCUAUCAGAUGGGCCCGCGUCCCA